AACGAACGCUGGCGGCAGGCCUAACACAUGCAAGUCGAACGCUCUAGCAAUAGAGAGUGGCAGACGGGUGAGUAACGCGUGGGAACCUUCCCAAUGGUGCAGAAUAGCCCAGGGAAACUUGGGGUAAUACUGCAUAAGCCCUUCGGGGGAAAGAUUUAUCGCCAUUGGAUGGGCCCGCGUCGGAUUAGCUAGUUGGUGAGGUAAUGGCUCACCAAGGCAACGAUCCGUAGCUGGUUUGAGAGAAUGACCAGCCACACUGGGACUGAGACACGGCCCAGACUCCUACGGGAGGCAGCAGUGGGGAAUCGUGGACAAUGGGCGCAAGCCUGAUCCAGCCAUGCCGCGUGAGUGACGAAGGCCUUAGGGUUGUAAAGCUCUUUUGCCGGGGACGAUAAUGACGGUACCCGGAGAAUAAGUCCCGGCUAACUUCGUGCCAGCCGCCGCAGUAA
rnacentral:rRNA from 1 species